GGCGGCGCACAGCCAAGUCCCCGCCCCACUCUCCACUGAAUAUGACACAGCUGCUUUUCAGAACCCAACCGCUCGAGCCCCUUCAUCCUGAGAGCAAACAAAAAGUGGCUAUUUAUUAGAAUACUUGUUUUGUAUUGUUCAGCGCCACACAACAGACGCUUCAUUAUUGUGUGUUGAAUGGUGGGUUUGGGCACCGGGCACGGAUGGCACACACAGCGGUUAGAGUUUAGGGGCGAUGGCGGUCUUACAGGAAGCUUUGGUGUGUUUAGGACGGCUUUAGGAGGAGGAUGGGGAGAAAAUCUAUUCCUACUUCACUGACUACGAUAGAGGAUCAGGGAGACGUGCGGUGUCCAGUAUGAUAACUGCCAUGGUGGACUGUCCAUGGAUCACCGUGGAGACCUGUGAUUGACAGACAGGCACUAGCCCCCGUCUGGCUGGCUGGCAGGCCGUCAUUACGAUGAGCAGGAGCAGAUUUGCUAUGCUGGCGACAGGACCGCACGGGAAAUGUCAACGACCAUCAGAGCCCCAGACAGACUUCCUCCCCUCCCCCAAGUACCUCACCUAAUGUCAGCUAAUGCCCAUGCUCAUCAUCCAGACCCUCGGUACCAUCAACACAGCUUCACAUACUUCAUCUACACUCAUUUACAAACCACAUGCACACAAAGCACUCUACCCCUGUAUACUUCGUCCAACAACUCAACACGCCUCACCCAAACCCCCACAUGGCUCACCCAUCCCUCACAUAUUUCACCCCAACCCCUAUGUAUCACCCAACGGCCUCACACCUCAUCCAACCACCACAGUACCUCACUCCUUAUGUGCGUCAUCCGCCCCACACAUCCACCCGUCACCCCCCCCGUCACCCCCCAUGCACCUCAGCCAGCCUCCUAUAUUAAUACCAUGUCUCCCUCUAUUGGCCUAUUGCCCAGCAGCACUCUGCAUGUUAACAUUUCAAAAUUCCUCAAAUGGUGAGAAAGAAGUAUUUUCUUGCCUUCAGUCUAUGUGAACAGCCAGUCUGCCCUGCAUGCCAGACAGCUAGCUAGAACAUCACGUGUGGUCAGUUCUGAGACAGACUGGCACUCUGACAGGCACCCUGACCAGAGUAAGUGCCUCACACAUAUUACAGCAGUUUACUGCAGUUUGGCAGGACACUGACAACAAGACCAGCCAAUGCCUGGCAAACUGACUGACCCCCGGUCUAGUUGGCACCUAGUAAGAUAAGGAGAAAAUAUAAGGAAUAUGACAUUGAGAUCAUGUGUAAGUGAAAAAGGUUUCGGUAAUUAUUUUCUCUUUCUUGACGUGUUUUUUUUUUCUGCAAACGUACACACAGUGCAAACGUUUAGGAAAUCUGUUCCAAGGUAUCUCUAGAGUAAAGUCUUAACAGUCAUCCUUCUCCUCUCCGGGCCCAGACACAGCGUCAUGUUCAUGUUGGUACUAUUCAGAGCUCUGCUGCCUUGAAUGAUACCACAAAACUAAAUAAACACAUUAAAAUGGCUUCCUGUCGCCUCCCAUUGGCGACACAGGAAGAAAUCUCAGUUUCAUUACAUAGGAAAUUAAAAGGAAGGGUAUUUGUAGAGUACAAGGAGGAAAGGUGAGGAAAACUUUCUGCGAGACCACAAUCUAACUAUAUUACAUAUAAUCACUCAUUGAAAUAGUUUUUUAUUUAUUUGAAUUCUGUUCCUCCAGCCUGGGAUUUUUAAAAUUCCUGCCAUCGAUCUAGAAGCUGCUUGAAGCAGUGGGAGAGAGGGUUAGAUCUGUGGUAUGGAAAUACUGGGCAGAAGUUAUGAAUGAGGCAAUCUAAAAAAUUAAUAGGUAAAUCAAUGAAGCAUUCAAUGUGCAUCAACAUUGACUUAAUCAAGCAUUCGUCUUUAUGGUCUUGUAUUAUUGAUUUUAUAUCAACGUAUCAAGUUGAAAUCAAAAUUAUUUUUGCUUCUGUACAUUUUGAGGAUUGACUGAAAACCUGUCCCUUGCAUUAGAAAUAAAAUGCAAUGCAAAAUAAAGAGUUAUCUGUU
ensembl:lncRNA